UACGUAGGGUGCAAGCGUUAAUCGGAAUUACUGGGCGUAAAGCGUGCGCAGGCGGUUGUGCAAGACCGAUGUGAAAUCCCCGGGCUUAACCUGGGCAUGGCAUUGGUGACUGCACGGCUAGAGUGUGUCAGAGGGGGGUAGAAUUCCACGUGUAGCAGUGAAAUGCGUAGAGAUGUGGAGGAAUACCGAUGGCGAAGGCAGCCCCCUGGGAUAACACUGACGCUCAUGCACGAAAGCUAGGGGAGCAAACGGG
rnacentral:rRNA from 1 species